CAGAUAUGUUAAUUCUGUCCUUAGAGAUGAUUUUGAGAAAAUUUCAACUGGAGGAAAAUCAAAAGAUUUUGAAGGAAUCAGAAAUUUGGAACACAGCGAAGAAGAAGAAGUAGUGCAAACCGAUCCAAAAACACAGGAAAUCCUUCAAGAAUACAGUGCAUUUAAAAACUAUUUUGUCGAAACUCAACUUUACGAAAUAAUAAAAGAGAAAAUGGAAACA